rnacentral:rRNA from 1 species
AGAUCAAUUUGUCGGUCGUGCCUCGGUACGUACUGGCAUUAUUGAUUUCUCCCUUCUGAAGAACCGCGAUGUCAUUAAUUUGGUGUCGUGGGGAAUCAGGACUGUUACUUUGAAAAAUUAGAGUGUUUAAAGCAGGCGCACGCUUGAAUACAUUAGCAUGGAAUAAUGAAAUAGGACGUUUGAUUCUAUUUUGUUGGUUUCUAGGAUCGACGUAAUGAUUAA